UACGGGGGGGGGCAAGCGUUUGUUCGGAAUUACCGGGCGUAAAGGGCUCGUAGGCGGCCAACUAAGUCAGACGUGAAAUCCCCAGGCUCAACCUGGGAACUGCGUCUGAUACUGGAUGGCUUGAAUCCGGGAGAGGGAUGCAGAAUUCCAGGUGUAGCGGUGAAAUGCGUAGAUAUCUGGAGGAAUACCGGUGGCGAAGGCGGCAUCCUGGACCGGCAUUGACGCUGAGGAGCGAAAGCUAGGGGAGCAAACGGG
rnacentral:rRNA from 1 species